AUGUGUGUGCCGAGCGACAAUCUUUAUUGUGCUGGGAGUAUGACCUUUUGGAUGUUAAAAAUCAUGCAUUUCCCUCCAUUUUUUGCUUUAAAAAUUAGUGCCGGCUCCUUAAUUUGUAUGGUCCUUUUAACCUCCUAUUUUAACCCUUAUCGUGAAGUUAUUGCUGCCAAUAAGCCAUCUGGAGUUUUAAACGUGUUACAGGGUCGCAGUUGCAAACUAUUCAGUGAGUAUGCUGAGUUGAUUCGGGCGAUUCCUGAGUAUGAGGUCAAGCUAAUAGAGGUAGUGAAGUAUAACAAGACAUUGCCAGUAUUGAAUUUUCACUUUAUCGUCCAUGCUCAGGGAGUUAUGAGCUACAAGGUGUGGGUGGAUGGAUAUCAAAAGUACGGUAUGGAACAUAUUUACAAGCGCAGUGCAUUGGCGUUGCACACCACUUUUUGUGACACAGUCAGUGGUAGUUUCUUUUUCACGAAUGCUCUGCGUAAUUUCACCAACUUACCUAGUAAAUGUCCGCUUAAAGUCGUAAGUAUAAGUUUAUGUAAGCUGCACAUAAAAAAGCAUAAAGCUAAGAGUAUCGAGAGAAUUAUUUUGGCUUAAGAAUGAAGUGUCAUGGGCAUAGCUAGGUUAUUUUGUUGGGGAGGGCCAUAGGGUCUAGUUUACCUACUACCAGGAACCGGAGGGUCUGAAGGGUAUGAAAAACCCCCUAGUCCAAGGGGGGUUUGAGGGACUUCUCCAUUAAAUUUUUGAAAUUUUGACUCUGUUUAAACGCAUUUGUUGCUUCCGUGCGUUUCCGUUAAUUUCUGCACAUAAAUUACGCAGUUUAAGUAUUUUCAAUUCAAAAUACUUUCGAAUUGUUACACAGAAUCACACCGCGAUAAACUGUUAUCGCUGCCGAAUAUUUUUUUCCACCGGACGGAAUUUCUUUGAAAGAGGGGCCUGAUGAUACUAAUUUCAAUUUAAGAGGGGGCCAGGCCCUCCCUGGACCCCCCCCCCCAGCUACGCCCAUAUCAAGGGUUUGUCCAUUUUCACGAAACUCGGUUGAAAAAUUAAAAUGUUCUUCUCAAGUUCCAAAUUAAGUUUUUGGUGAAUGAUUUAGAGGGAUAAAAUGUCUGCACUAUGCAAAAAUGUACGGAUAACCAUUCUACAAUUGUCUCUCCCAGUCCCAAAUCCUACUCAGACUAAAAUUGACUUGGAAGAACGCCGAAGGAUUUGAAGUUCACUCUGCAAAUGAACAUGUGAAUGCGAUAAAAGUUAUUAUUUUUGUUUAGCGUUCAAAUUAUUUCAGUUCCAGUUAAUGAUUGUAAAAUAACACAUUGAUACACAAAAAGUUAAAAGUCACGAGUUCUUUGAGCCAAAAUAGAUUAAAUACUAUCAAUCUUUCCCGCUUCUUUUCAAAUUCAAAGUAGUGCUAUAUGGUUUUGCAGCGAUACCUUUGACCAAUGAGAGGCGCGGUUUCAUUAUAGCUCUUAGCGCUCUGUCUUUAUACAGGGUGUUUCAGACCACCCGUACCAGGCCCUUUUCUCGGUUGUUUUAGGUCGUACGAAGUCGGGGACCGCGGGGUUUAAUAGGGAAUCGACCCCAAGGAAUCCGAAUUUCGGGGUCCCAAAACCCCCCCACCCCCCUUGGGGGCUAAA
rnacentral:lncRNA from 1 species